CAACUACACGAUAAACAUGGCUACAACAGUGCAGUGAAAAGAACUGUAAAAGAAGUUUACACUGCAGUCUAGCAACAUAAAAAUCCUGCUAUCUUAAGCAAAUUUGUUCAACAGAAGUAAACACGAUAAAAAUACUGAAAUAAACUCAACCCAACAGUUGACAGAAGAAUACAGUUACACACAGCACUCUCGUCUUUGAUGAUAUAAUACUAACAAAUGGUAAAACUCCAAGACAGAAGUAGAACUUCAUAGGUCCAUGGACUUGGUUCCUUCCCUUCUCACCAUUCCUAGCAUGUUAAAAGUCCCGUGGACACGUCUGCGGCAGAGAACACCUGUAUUCAAAACUAUUAUAAGCUGCUAUGUAAAGGUAGGCACGACCACAGGAACCUUUAACCUGCAAAAACUUGGAAUAGAUCGAUAACAUCAAUCUUAUAAAAAUGACAAACUCUAUACUUUAUCCUAUAAAGAGACACGUCUCUAGACUGACACAACUAAACACUUAAACCAAAUGCUUUCAUUUUCAGGAAGAAUAAACCAAGGAGAGAAAAGACCAUUUGACUCGCCCUAAAGUUAAAAAU
rnacentral:lncRNA from 1 species